CAAGGAAUUUUCCCCAAUGGGCGCAAGCCUGAGGGAGCAACGCCGCGUGGAGGACGACGGCCUUCGGGUUGUAAACUCCUUUUGGGAGGGACGAUGAUGACGGUACCUCCUGAAUAAGCCCCGGCUAACUCUGUGCCAGCAGCCGCGGUAAGACAGAGGGGGCAAGCGUUGUCCGGACUGACUGGGCGUAAAGCGCGCGCAGGCGGUUCGAGGCGUCGGUGCUGAAAGUCCACCGCUUAACGGUGGGAUGCGCGCCGAUACGCUCGAACUGGAGGACGGGCGAGGGUGGUGGAAUUGCCGGUGUAGUGGUGAAAUGCGUAGAGAUCGGCAGGAACACCAGUGGCGAAGGCGGCCACCUAGCCCGCACCUGACGCUGAGGCGCGACAGCGUGGGGAGCGAACUGG
rnacentral:rRNA from 1 species